rnacentral:rRNA from 1 species
UACGGAGGGGGCUAGCGUUGUUCGGAAUUACUGGGCGUAAAGCGCGCGUAGGCGGACCUGCAAGUCGGGGGUGAAAGCCCGAGGCUCAACCUCGGAACUGCCUUCGAUACUGCGGGUCUCGAGUCCGGGAGAGGUGAGUGGAAUUCCUAGUGUAGAGGUGAAAUUCGUAGAUAUUAGGAAGACACCAGUGGCGAAGGCGGCUCACUGGCCCGAUACUGACGCUGAGGUGCGAAAGCGUGGGGAUCAAACAGGG